rnacentral:rRNA from 1 species
CCCGCACAAGCGGUGGAGCAUGUGGUUUAAUUCGAAGCAACGCGAAGACCUUACCAGGUCUUGACAUCCCUCUGAAUGGCGCUUAGCAGCGCAGGUCUUUCGGGACAGAGGAGACAGGUGGUGCAUGGUUGUCGUCAGCUCGUGUCGUGAGAUGUUGGGUUAAGUCCCGCAACGAGCGCAACCCUUGCCUUUAGUUGCCAGCACGUAAAGGUGGGCACUCUAGAGGGACUGCCGGUGACAAACCGGAGGAAGGUGGGGAUGACGUCAAAUCAUCAUGCCCCUUAUGAUCUGGGCUACACACGUGCUACAAUGGCCGGUACAACGAGAAGCGAAACCGCGAGGUGAAGCAAAUCUUUAAAGCCGGUCCCAGUUCGGAUUGCAGGCUGAAACUCGCCUGCAUGAAGUCGGAAUCGCUAGUAAUCGCAGGUCAGCAUACUGCGGUGAAUACGUUCCCGGGCCUU